rnacentral:tRNA from 2 species
GCGCCCUUAGCUCAGUUGGAUAGAGCACGAGACUUCUAAUCUUGAGGCCGGUGGUUCGAAUCCACCAGGGCGCACCA